rnacentral:rRNA from 1 species
GUUGACCUCGAAUCAGGUAGAAAA